rnacentral:rRNA from 1 species
GCAAAACAGCUAGCCUAAACAAACCACAAAAUGACCAACCAUAAAUUACGAAACAAUGACACACCCAAAACAAAACAUUUUCCCACCCAAGUAUAGGCGAUAGAAAAGGACAUAAUUAGAGCCAUAGAAAAAGUACCGCAAGGGAAAGCUGAAAAAGAAAUGAAAAAACCCAUAAUUAAGCAACAAAAAGCAGAGACUAACCCUCGUACCUUUUGCAUCAUGAUUUAGCAAGUAAAAUUCAAGCAAGGAGAACCGUAGUUUGAACCCCCGAAACUAGACGAGCUACUCCGGAGCAAUCUUAAAGGAUCAACCCGUCUCUGUGGCAAAAGAGUGGGAAGACUCCCGAGUAGAGGUGACAAGCCUACCGAGCCUAGUUAUAGCUGGUUGCUUAGGAAAUGAAUUUUAGUUCAGCCUUAUGUGAUUCUCAAACCAAAACAUAACGAACAAGAGUAAAGUAACACAUAAGAGUUAGUCAAAGGGGGUACAGCUCCUUUGAAACAGAAUACAACCUUAUUUAGGUGAACAAGGAUCAUAAAUUAUAAAGGAUAAUUACUUCCUCAGUGGGCCCAAAAGCAGCCACCUGAACAGAAAGCGUUACAGCUCAGGAAGGGCCAAACCAAUAAUAAAGAUAAAUCACUCCUAAUUCCCUAAUAAUACUAAGCCGCCCUAUUUUCAUAGAAGAGAUAAUGCUAAAAUUAGUAAUAAGAGGGCUACUAGGUCCUCUCCUGGCACAUGUGUAAGUCAGACCGGACAAACCACUGACAACUAACGGACCCAAUAAAGAGGGACAAACAACAUAAACCGAAAACAAGAAAAACUUGCACGAAACAACCGUUAACCCAACACAGGAGUGCCCUCAAGGAAAGACUAAAAGGAGAAGAAGGAACUCGGCAAACACAAACCCCGCCUGUUUACCAAAAACAUCGCCUCUUGCUAAUAAAAUGUAUUAGAGGUCCCGCCUGCCCUGUGACCAUCAAGGUUUAACGGCCGCGGUAUCCUGACCGUGCGAAGGUAGCGUAAUCACUUGUCUUUUAAAUGAAGACCUGUAUGAAUGGCAUAACGAGGGUUUAACUGUCUCCUCCUCCCAGUCAAUGAAAUUGAUCUACCCGUGCAGAAGCGGGUAUAAAAACAUAAGACGAGAAGACCCUAUGGAGCUUCAGGCCAAAGACCAAACAUGUUAAGAAAUCACUAAACCUACAAGAAAUAGUAAAAGAUCCAAUAAACUAAAUGUAAUAAUGAUCUAAGUGCCUUCGGUUGGGGCGACCACGGGGAAAAAAGAAACCCCCACAUGGAAUGGAAACAUCUCCCUAAACUAAGAAAAACAUUUCCAAGUAACAGAACAUCUGACCAAAAAUGACCCAGGGCCACCCGCCCUGACCAAUGAACCAAGUUACCCUAGGGAUAACAGCGCAAUCCUUUCCCAGAGCCCAUAUCGACGAAAGGGUUUACGRCCUCGAUGUUGGAUCAGGACAUCCUAAUGGUGCAGCCGCUAUUAAGGGUUCGUUUGUUCAACGAUUAAUAGUCCUACGUGAUCUGAGUUCAGACCGGAGUAAUCCAGGUCGGUUUCUAUCUAUGAACUUACUUCUUCCCAGUACGAAAGGACCGGAAAAAGAGGGCCCAUACUUAAAGCAAGCCCCACCCCCAACUUCUGAAGACAAAUAAAAAAAUAAAGGGGUAUACUCAACCCGCCAAAGAUAAUGGCAA